rnacentral:lncRNA from 1 species
ACAAACAAAAAAUUGAAUAACUUGCUUCUAAUCCAAAACAAUACCACCAAAAACAAAAAUAUGAACAAUUUAUUAUCAUUCAAUCACUAUAUAAAGCUACAAAUCAAAAUUCAUACAAAAUAAAAAAGAAAUCAUAAAAAAAAAACUUACCUUUCUUCAACAAAUGGAGGCACCUACAAAUUGAUCCCAAAGCUUUAACCACUUGCUUGGAACAAUGCUUCUAAUCCAAAACAACACCACCAAAAAUAAAGAACGUGAGCAAUUUAUUAUCAUUCAUACAACACAAAAAUGAAAUCAUCAAAAUAAACUUACCUUUCUUCAAGAAAUUGAUCCCAAAGCUUUAACCACACCUAGGGACACUUGCUUGGAACAAUGAGGGGAGAAAUUUGCUUGAAAGAAGCUGAUUGAAGAAGAAAAUCGGAAAUAUGGUGAAGGAACUCGAAGCAAACAGAAAGGGAAAUGAAGAGGAACUGUAAUCUGCGUGCGUUUUUUUUUUUAUCUGCGAUCAUCAAUAGCGGCGACACUAUUAGCGGCGACGCGAGGAUCAAUACCGGCGACAAUUGUUAAUAGCGGCGACAAACUGGAGGGAAGGGUACCGCGUCAUUUUUAUCAGACAAUUAGUGGCGACUUUUUUAG